AUGGCGCCCUCCAGCCUGCUGUGGGCCCUGGUGGCCUUCACCUGCUCUGGAACCAUUGUUUCCCAGAAAGUUAUUCAAGACCACCCAGCUAUAGCCAAACGAGAGGGGUUGGAAGUCACCCUGAAGUGUCAGUAUCAAACAACUCUCAGUAGCUUCUAUCUUUAUUGGUACAAGCAGCUUCCUGAUGGAAAGAUGACUUUCCUUAUUUAUCAGUAUUCUUAUGACAACAAUGCAGUAAAAGGUCGCUAUUCUAUAAACUUUCAAAAACCAUUCAAAUCCAUCUCCCUCACCAUUUCACCCUUGCAACUGGAAGAUUCAGCCAAGUAUUUCUGUGCUCUUCGAGAGCCCACUGUGUUUAAGGCAACAGUAAAAGCUGGACAAAAACCCCAGAGCUGA